rnacentral:rRNA from 1 species
CCCCUAGAUGUUCUGGGCCGCACGCGCGCUACACUGAACAGUUCAACAAGUCUUAACCCUGGCCGAUAGGUCUGGGUAAUCUUUGAACGCUGUUCGUGAUUGGGAUAGACCUUUGCAAUUAUGGGUCUUCAACGAGGAAUUCCUAGUAAACGCAAGUCAUCAGCUUGCAUUGAUUACGUCCCUGCCCUUUGUACACACCGCCCGUCGCACCUACCGAUUGAAUGGUCCGGUGAAAUCUCGGGACGGCGGCUUGGUCGCUUGCGUCCGACUGCUGAAACUUGAUUAAACCAUAUCAUUUAGAGGAAGGUGAANUCGUANCA